rnacentral:rRNA from 1 species
GGGUGCGAUCAUACCAGCAAUAAUGCACCGGAUCCCAUCAGAACUGCGAAGUUAUGCUUGCUUGGGCUAGAGGUGUACUAGGAUGGGUGACCUCCUGGCAAGUCCUCGUGUUGCACCCCUC